UGAGGAAUAUUGGUCAAUGGGCGGGAGCCUGAACCAGCCAAGCCGCGUGAGGGAGGAAGGCCCUAUGGGUCGUAAACCUCUUUUGUCAGGGAACAAAAGCGAGUAUGUAUACUAGUCUGAGUGUACCUGAAGAAAAAGCAUCGGCUAACUCCGUGCCAGCAGCCGCGGUAAUACGGAGGAUGCGAGCGUUAUCCGGAUUUAUUGGGUUUAAAGGGUGCGUAGGCGGCGGUGCAAGUCAGCGGUAAAAGCCCGGGGCUCAACCCCGGCGAGCCGUUGAAACUGCAGUGCUAGAGAAGGCGAGAGGUACGCGGAAUGCGCAGUGUAGCGGUGAAAUGCUUAGAUAUUGCGCAGAACUCCGAUUGCGAAGGCAGCGUACUGGCGCCUGACUGAUGCUGAGGCACGAAAGCGUGGGGAUCGAACAGGAUUAGAUACCC
rnacentral:rRNA from 1 species